GGCGUUCUGGAGUCCGGCGGUCAACUCCACAUCAGUGACCUGAACACCGGCGAAGUCAUUGCCAG
rnacentral:tRNA from 1 species